rnacentral:rRNA from 1 species
AGAGUUUGAUCCUGGCUCAGGAUGAACGCUAGCUACAGGCUUAACACAUGCAAGUCGAGGGGCAGCAUGGUCUUAGCUUGCUAAGGCCGAUGGCGACCGGCGCACGGGUGAGUAACACGUAUCCAACCUGCCGUCUACUCUUGGACAGCCUUCUGAAAGGAAGAUUAAUACAAGAUGGCAUCAUGAGUCCACAUGUUCACAUGAUUAAAGGUAUUCCGGUAGACGAUGGGGAUGCGUUCCAUUAGAUAGUAGGCGGGGUAACGGCCCACCUAGUCUUCGAUGGAUAGGGGUUCUGAGAGGAAGGUCCCCCACAUUGGAACUGAGACACGGUCCAAACUCCUACGGGAGGCAGCAGUGAGGAAUAUUGGUCAAUGGGCGAGAGCCUGAACCAGCCAAGUAGCGUGAAGGAUGACUGCCCUAUGGGUUGUAAACUUCUUUUAUAAAGGAAUAAAGUCGGGUAUGCAUACCCGUUUGCAUGUACUUUAUGAAUAAGGAUCGGCUAACUCCGUGCCAGCAGCCGCGGUAAUACGGAGGAUCCGAGCGUUAUCCGGAUUUAUUGGGUUUAAAGGGAGCGUAGAUGGAUGUUUAAGUCAGUUGUGAAAGUUUGCGGCUCAACCGUAAAAUUGCAGUUGAUACUGGAUAUCUUGAGUGCAGUUGAGGCAGGCGGAAUUCGUGGUGUAGCGGUGAAAUGCUUAGAUAUCACGAAGAACUCCGAUUGCGAAGGCAGCUCACUGGACUGCAACUGACACUGAGGCUCGAAAGUGUGGGUAUCAAACAGGAUUAGAUACCCUGGUAGUCCACACGGUAAACGAUGAAUACUCGCUGUUUGCGAUAUACGGCAAGCGGCCAAGCGAAAGCGUUAAGUAUUCCACCUGGGGAGUACGCCGGCAACGGUGAAACUCAAAGGAAUUGACGGGGGCCC